rnacentral:rRNA from 1 species
UAACGCGUAGGUAACCUGCCUGGUAGCGGGGGAUAACUAUUGGAAACGAUAGCUAAUACCGCAUAAAAUGGAUUAUUGCAUGAUAGUCAAUUGAAAGGUGCAACUGCACCACUACCAGAUGGACCUGCGUUGUAUUAGUUAGUUGGUGGGGUAACGGCUCACCAAGGCGACGAUACAUAGCCGACCUGAGAGGGUGAUCGGCCACACUGGGACUGAGACACGGCCCAG